rnacentral:misc_RNA from 1 species
UCUCCGUUGGUGAACCAGCGGAGGGAUCAUUAUAGAGUUAUCUAAACUCCCAACCCAUGUGAAAUUAUCAUUGUUGCCUCGGCAGAAGCUGCUCGGUGCACCCUACCUUGGAACGGCCUACCCUGUAGCGCCUUACCCUGGAACGGCUUACCAUGUAACGCACUGCCGGUGGACUUUUAAACUCUUGUUAUUUUAUAGUAAUCUGAGCGUCUUAUUUUAAUAAGUCAAAACUUUCAACAACGGAUCUCUUGGUUCUGGCAUCGAUGAAGAACGCAGC